rnacentral:siRNA from 1 species
GAGGCGGCAGGAGAAUCCAAAUUA